GACUGUGAGGGGCGCUUCUGACUUUGGACUUGAGCACUGCCUGGGACCUGUGCUGAGAGAGCGCUAGCAUGUCUCAGUGGAAUCAAGUCCAACAGUUAGAAAUCAAGUUUUUGGAGCAGGUGGAUCAAUUCUAUGAUGACAACUUUCCCAUGGAAAUUCGGCAUCUGUUGGCCCAGUGGAUUGAAAAUCAAGACUGGGAGGCAGCUUCUAACAAUGAAACCAUGGCAACGAUUCUUCUUCAAAACUUGUUAAUACAACUGGAUGAACAGUUAGGUCGUGUUUCCAAAGAGAAAAACCUACUCUUGAUACACAAUCUAAAAAGAAUUAGGAAGGUCCUUCAGGGAAAAUUUCAUGGAAAUCCAAUGCAUGUAGCUGUGGUUAUUUCAAACUGUUUAAGGGAAGAGAGGAGAAUAUUGGCUGCAGCCAACAUGCCUGUCCAGGGGCCUCUAGAGAAAUCCUUACAAAGUUCUUCAGUUUCAGAAAGACAGAGGAAUGUGGAGCACAAAGUGGCUGCCAUUAAAAACAGUGUGCAGAUGACAGAACAAGAUACCAAAUACUUAGAAGAUCUGCAAGACGAAUUUGACUACAGGUAUAAAACAAUUCAGACAAUGGAUCAGAGUGACAAGAAUAGUGCCAUGGUGAAUCAGGAAGUUUUGACACUGCAGGAAAUGCUUAACAGCCUCGAUUUCAAGAGAAAGGAGGCUCUCAGUAAAAUGACCCAAAUCAUCCAUGAGACAGACCUGUUAAUGAACACCAUGCUCAUAGAAGAGCUGCAAGACUGGAAGCGGCGGCAGCAAAUAGCCUGCAUCGGGGGUCCACUCCACAAUGGGCUCGACCAGCUUCAGAACUGCUUUACACUAUUGGCAGAAAGUCUUUUCCAACUGAGAAGGCAAUUGGAGAAACUAGAGGAGCAAUCUACCAAAAUGACAUAUGAAGGUGAUCCCAUUCCAAUGCAAAGAACUCACAUGCUAGAAAGAGUCACCUUCUUGAUCUACAACCUUUUCAAGAACUCAUUUGUGGUUGAGCGACAGCCAUGUAUGCCAACCCACCCUCAGAGGCCGUUGGUACUUAAAACCCUAAUUCAGUUCACUGUAAAACUAAGGCUACUAAUAAAAUUGCCAGAACUAAACUAUCAGGUAAAGGUUAAGGCAUCAAUUGACAAGAAUGUUUCAACUCUAAGCAACCGAAGAUUUGUACUUUGUGGAACUAAUGUCAAAGCUAUGUCUAUUGAAGAAUCUUCCAAUGGGAGUCUCUCAGUAGAAUUUCGACAUUUGCAACCAAAGGAAAUGAAGUCCAGUGCUGGAGGUAAAGGAAAUGAGGGCUGUCACAUGGUGACUGAAGAACUUCAUUCCAUAACAUUUGAAACACAGAUCUGCCUCUAUGGCCUGACCAUAGAUUUGGAGACCAGCUCAUUGCCUGUGGUGAUGAUUUCCAAUGUCAGUCAGUUACCUAAUGCUUGGGCAUCCAUCAUUUGGUACAACGUGUCAACCAACGAUUCCCAGAACUUGGUUUUCUUUAAUAAUCCUCCACCUGCCACAUUGAGUCAACUACUGGAGGUGAUGAGCUGGCAGUUUUCAUCGUACGUUGGUCGUGGUCUUAACUCAGAUCAACUCCAUAUGCUGGCAGAGAAGCUUACAGUCCAAUCUAGCUACAGUGAUGGUCACCUCACCUGGGCCAAGUUCUGCAAGGAACAUUUACCUGGUAAAUCAUUUACCUUUUGGACAUGGCUUGAAGCAAUAUUGGAUCUAAUUAAGAAACACAUUCUUCCCCUUUGGAUUGAUGGGUAUGUCAUGGGCUUUGUUAGCAAAGAGAAGGAACGGCUGUUGCUAAAGGAUAAAAUGCCUGGCACCUUUUUAUUAAGAUUCAGUGAAAGCCAUCUCGGAGGAAUAACUUUCACCUGGGUGGACCAUUCUGAAAGUGGGGAAGUGAGAUUCCACUCUGUAGAACCCUACAAUAAAGGCCGGUUGUCUGCUCUGCCAUUCGCUGACAUCCUGCGAGACUACAAAGUUAUUAUGGCUGAAAACAUUCCUGAAAACCCUCUGAAGUAUCUAUAUCCUGACAUUCCCAAAGACAAAGCCUUCGGUAAACACUACAGCUCUCAGCCUUGCGAAGGUUAGGUUUUUCUGUUUGUUUUUGUUUUUGUUUUUUCCUUAAGAUUUUGGAAAAUAACCUCAUAUUGGAGCAAAGUAAAUGAAGUUCCCCUUCUUGUUU
rnacentral:sRNA from 1 species